rnacentral:rRNA from 3 species
GAGUUUGAUCAUGGCUCAGAUUGAACGCUGGCGGCAUGCCUUACACAUGCAAGUCGAACGGCAGCACGGGGGCAACCCUGGUGGCGAGUGGCGAACGGGUGAGUAAUACAUCGGAACGUGUCCUGUAGUGGGGGAUAGCCCGGCGAAAGCCGGAUUAAUACCGCAUACGAUCUGUGGAUGAAAGCGGGGGAUCCUUCGGGACCUCGCGCUACAGGGGCGGCCGAUGGCAGAUUAGCUAGUUGGUGGGGUAAAGGCCUACCAAGGCGACGAUCUGUAGCUGGUCUGAGAGGACGACCAGCCACACUGGGACUGAGACACGGCCCAGACUCCUACGGGAGGCAGCAGUGGGGAAUUUUGGACAAUGGGCGAAAGCCUGAUCCAGCAAUGCCGCGUGUGUGAAGAAGGCCUUCGGGUUGUAAAGCACUUUUGUCCGGAAAGAAAACCUCGUGGUUAAUACCCGUGGGGGAUGACGGUACCGGAAGAAUAAGCACCGGCUAACUACGUGCCAGCAGCCGCGGUAAUACG